ensembl:lncRNA
CCGCUCCCGCCCUUUCCCUUCCCUUCCCUCGGCUCCUUCCCCUUCCCUCCGCUCCUUUCCUCCAGGCCGAGCCCCUUUCCCAGCUCCCUCAGCCCCUCCUGGCGCUCCGGGGCACGGGGAAGAAGCUUUUUUGCUCCAGCAGAGAUUUUCCUUCUCCCUCUGGGCUGUUGUGGCCUGGGGUCCGUCAGGGGUGGAUCCAGGACAAGCCCCAGGCUGUGCUGGCACGCCCGGCCUUGGUUUGGCGUUUAACCCAAACUCCUGAGGCGCUGGGAUGGCACCACCGGGAUUUUGGGUCCACGGGAGCUUCGGAACCAUCGACUCACCCCUGUUUUAAGGCGAAUCUCCGCAGCUCCAGGGCUGUGCCAGCGUUUGGGAGAACGAGAGUAGCCCGGGCUCGGUGCUGGACCCUGCUGCUUGACAAGGCGAAGUUUGGUCAAAGGCUGCACUCGAUGAUCUCCGAGGUUUUUCCGAUCCCAGCGAUCCCGGGAUUCCUCAGGGCUCUCUGCCAUCCUGCUCCUGUCCAGCGAGGCCAAAUUCUCACCGUGACACAACAGCAGCCUAAGCAGGGUAAAUUCUUUUUAUUUAGGCUUUUAUUUCCCCUCCUUUCCCCUCAUUACCGCGCCCAGAAAAACAAACGGAUCCGUGGUGUCUGCACCGGGAGAAUCCCACGGGGAGCCCCGAAUCUCCCGUGGGGAGCGAGGUGGGUUCUUGUUAGGCUCUGGAAAGAGGCUGGAAUGGAAAUGUGUGUUCUUGCUGCAACACGCCUAAUUGCCCAUAAAUGUCAUUAAGUCGAGAAAUGUUUUCCACCAAAUUAACUUUGGCUGGCGGUGUCUAAUUAGCCGGAGAUGCUGAAAGAUAACAACUUAUCAGUCACUGGUUAACAAACCAUCCUUAAUGGGGCCUUUUUUCGGGAGCCAGGUACCGCAGCUGUCACAGCUCGGCCUUCCCGGGGCAAUUAAGGACAAAACCCCGGUGCAGCUUCCCACCAGGAUAAUUUGACAGCUCGUUCACAGGCCAGGAGUGCGGCUGAGCCCAAACUUUCCGGCCAUUGCUUUUGCGUUGGGCAGGAGCAACGAUGAAUUUUGCUUUUCUCUUUUUAUGUUCCUUCCCCUGCGUGUGCAAACCUGCAAAAAUGCUCCUCUCCCUCUCCCUCUUCCUCUCCCUCUCCCCUCUUUUCCACCACAGUUUUCCAGCUCCAAAGGAGAGGAAUCAGCAGGGAAGGGAUGGUUAAAUCCUUGUGUUUUCCUGUUUAGAUCCGGGGAUAUUCAGCUCUCCUCAGGACAGGAAUCUGAGGAAAGGGUGAUUAAAUCCCUUUAAAACCCUCGUGUUUAGCUGUUUCUGUCUGUAGCCAAGGAAAUGUUUUUCCUCUUUCCCAGAAGGAAGUUUUCCCUUGAGGAAGUGGGAGGGGAUGGCACCGAGGGAGCUCCUGGUUGUUUUUCACAAGGUUCUGCUGCAAAAUUGAACCUGAUCAGGAGAAAUUCUCACCAAGCUCCCAGAACUGCUCUGUCUGAUGAAAUCUCCCAUCAGAGCUCUUGGACUCCCCUCUGCUGAGUUUAUUUCACACUGUCCUUGCACACAGAUGUUUAUUCCAACUCUUCACAUGAUGCAAACCCCCUCCCAUUCCUGCUUUUUCUGCCAAAUACCUUCCAAACUUCCUGGCUCCUUGCUCAGCCCUGCUGUAAAUCAGCACAGCCAAUAAAUUCAUAAUUGCUUGUGCA